UACGAAGGGGGGCGAGCGUUUGUUCGGAAUACUGGGCGUAAAGGGCGCGUAGGCGGCCGAUCAAGUCAGAUGUGAAAGUCCUGGGGCUUAACCUGGGGGACUGCAUUUGAUACUGAUUGGCUUGAAUGCAGGAGAGGAUAGCGGAAUUCCCAGUGUAGAGGUGAAAUUCGUAGAUAUUGGGGAAGAACACCGGUGGCGAAGGCGGCUAUCUGGACUGUGAUUGACGCUGGAGGCGCGAAAGCGUGGGGGAGCAAACAGG
rnacentral:rRNA from 1 species